UGGUGACUUUUUUUUUUGUAACUGUCCCUAUAAAUAAAAACUAUAUUUUGAUCGUUACUAAUAAGUUUUAUUUGUAGUUCCAGGUAAGAAGCUACAGCACAUUUGCCCCUGCGGUAGGAAAUUCUCCCAUCGAUUUAAUCUCGAAUACCACAAAAAGGCAGAGUGUGGAAUCAUUUUCCAGUGCAACCACUGCCCGAAGAAUUUCAAAUCUAAGAAGUCCCUGAAAAUACACACAUUUUCCCUCCACGGGAAACCAUCGUAGAUUUGUUUUCCCCAAGUCAUUUAAACGGAAUGGGCAAAGAUAAAGGCAACAGACGUCUGAUCAAAGUUAUGUUUCAUAUGUCUAGAAAUAAAAUUGAAAUUGUAAAUAAAAUUUUCAACCAGCUCCAUUCUACGAACUUUACACUUUUUCAAAAACAUUUGGUUUUUUUAAGUUUGUACCAGGGAGUUCACCCAUGAAUACUUUCUGAACCUCAGAACACACCGCCCAAAGUGUUUCGGUUCCAUAGACAGAAGAGUUAUAAAGGAAGCAUUUUUUUGACAACAAAAAUGCUCAGGAAGACGUACUUCAUGCUACGAUGAUCCUGGAAAAUGUAUAUAAUAAAAUAUAAGGAAAUAAUCACAGCCAAAGUUUUCCUGUACACAGUUGACAUUUUUCUAAAUGUUAACUUUAGUCAAAAGAAAGAGAGAAGAAAAAAAUGAAAGACAAAAACCAUUGCUAUUUAAAAUUUUUAAAAAUGAACGCAUUUUGUAUGUUAAAUAAAGUUGUGAAAAGAUGUACUUUUCGUUGAUUUCGAGAUUUGUACAUUAUUGAAUAAAAUAUUUUAAGAUGUUUCCCAUGGCUUUACUAUUUCCAGCGAAACUUCUUGAUAUUUUUUAUUACUAAAAGCAGGUCCCCGUCUUAGAAUAACUUGUAUUUGUUAAAAUAAACAUAACAAAAAUUUAAAACGACCUCACAGAAAAAGCAGUAAAUAGAGCGACUUGAUGUUCUCACAAACCAGGUGUACUUAGCCAUGCAACAAGUGCACAGAUGGUCCGAUAAAUAGGAAGCCACAUUAAGUUAAGUUGCAAUAAUUGGACAGCCGAUCACAUAAAUAAUGGCGAGCUAUUUAGUUGUCACAAGGGCAAAAAUACUAUGCAAUUUUGGACAUCCUAAAUCGGGGUCGGGUCAGGUGCGUGGCACUUGUCUUUGCCGGUCCACCCACAGUAUGGGAACUCACCUCACUUUUGAUGUUCCUUUCUGCCUUCAAAAGUCAGUUCAGGGGCUAAAACCAGUGAGUCCCCCGUCCAAGAGCUCUUACCAGUGGUCUAUUUAAUAGUGAUUUAUGAAAGUUUUUCAUGUUAUCAAGGGGUUGGGAUGCCGAGGAAGACAGGAAAAACAUUCUGCUUCGACUGCAAGAGCUUUGAAGCAGGGAAUUUGGCAACUGUGCAGGUUUCGUCUGCGAGUGUGGCAAAGUGUACAAAAACAAGAACGACCGAGCUAGACACCAGAGACGAGAAUGCGGCAAAGAACCGAUCAUCGCGUGUCAGUUCUGCGAUUAUAAAUGCUAUUGGAUAUCCAACUUGAAAAUACACGUUAUGAACCGUCACAUGAAAUCCAAAAUACCUUUGUAAAAGAAAAAAGUUCGAUUUUAGUAAUAAACAGCUUAUUUUUCAGU